GCUGUGGUAGCUCAGCGUUUAAGACGUUGGACUAUUGAUCGAACGGUUAAGAGUUCAAAUCCUAGCACUGCCACUGCU